ensembl:lncRNA
CCAUGAGGGUGGAACCAUGAUGAUGGAUCCAUGAGGAUGGAACCAUGAGGAUGGAACCAUGAGGGUGGAACCAUGAGGGUGGUACCAUGAGGGUGGAACCAUGAUGAUGGAACCAUGAGGGUGGUACCAAGGGAAUGGAACCAUGAUGAUGGAUCCAUGAGGAUGGAACAAUGGGGAUGGAUCCAUGAGGCAGCCUGAGGUUAGAUCUUCAACACUACUGACCAAACACCAUCACUCUGGCCCUAGCAUGUGUGUGUUAACGUGUUUUAACGUGUGUGUGUGUGUGUGUGUGUGUGUGUGUGUGUGUGUGUGUGUGUGUGUGUGUGUGUGUGUGUGUGGUAUCGUGGUGUGAAAAAUAAUUGUUACUUUUUUUGCAAUUUAAAAACGAUUAAAAGUUGCCGGGGACAACAUUUCCCUGGACCCUAGGCUACUGAAAAUGUUCCCGGACCCUAGGCUACUGAAAAUGUUCCCGGACCCUAGGCUACUGAAAAUGUUCCCGGACCCUAGGCUACUGAAAAUGUUCCCGGACCCUAGGCUACUGAAAAUGUUCCCAGACCCUAGGCUACUGAAAAUGUUCCCAGACCCUAGGCUACUGAAAAGGCUACUGAAAAUGUUCCCAGACCCUAGGCUACUGAAAAUGUUCCCAGACCCUAGGCUACUGAAAAUGUUCCCAGACCCUAGGCUACUGAAAAUGUUCCCAGACCCUAGGCUACUGAAAAUGUUCCCAGACCCUAGGCUACUGAAAAGGCUACUGAAAAUGUUCCCAGACCCUCGGCUACUGAAAAUGUUCCCUGACCCUAGGCUACUGAAAAUGUUCCCCGGACCCUAGGCUACUGAAAAUGUUCCCCGGACCCUCCGAUUUACAAAUUAAUCAGUGUGUGUGUGUGUGUGUGUGUGUGUGUGUGUGUGUGUGUGUGUGUGUGUGUGUGUGUGUGUGUGUGUGUGUGUGUGUGUUUGGGCAGAUUAGAAGUGUUGGGUCCUUCCUGGUAUGAAAAAGGGUGAAAGGUCACAAACCCCGGUUUGGGCAGAAUAGAAGUGUUGGUUCCUUCCUGCUAUGAAAAAGGGUGAAAGGUCACGAACCCGGGUUUGGGCAGAAUAGAAGCGUUGGUUUCUAUUAUUGAUGUUACUAUGUGGACCGGACUGGGUCUGUGUUUUUUAUUUUAUUUACCACAACUAGAACCCGUGGAACCGUCUAGACGUGUUGUUUCCUUGUGAUGAGAUUGCUGUGGAACAGGAUUAUUAUUAUUAUUGUUAUUGUUAUUAUUAUUAUGCAUCUGAUCAUCUAUUACUCUAAAUGACGACGAGCAAUAAAGUUGAGAUCCUUUUUCAAAUAUAUAUAUUGCAUGUUUUACUAAAAA